UAUAUCGUUCUCCUUGUUGUUGAUGACAAAGGGGGAGAAAAAUAUGAAUUGAUAUGGUUGCUAUUACUGAUGUUAUGAUUAGGCCAUACCUACUAUCACUGAUAAUGAUAUGGUUGCUAUUACUGAUGUUGAUAUGGUUGCUAUCACUGAUGCUAUGAUUAGGCCAUACUUGCAUCACCAAGAAAUAUAUGAUUGCCAUAUGCCCUGUAUCAAGAUAUCAAACAAAAAUUUGCAUCGUACGAACUGAUAUCUUACCAUGUGAUGCAAUGCUA
rnacentral:lncRNA from 1 species